AAUUACUGUGGACAUCAGGCGAAUGGGUCCUGAGCAUCCUGCAGAUCGACGGUGCCAUAGGGAUCAUAUAGACCAUCAUCUUCUGCAAAUUGGCUGGUUGAAUCAUUUUGGGAUGAAGCUGAAGAGUGAGCAGAAGCUUCUUCAUGUAACUCAUCAAUUCUUUUAUUGAGGGCUUGAGCAAUAAGUUUCAACUCGCUGCCGGAGCAAUCUUUGAAAUCAUAAAAGUUACGAGAACAGGA
rnacentral:lncRNA from 1 species